CUGUGCUAGCUGGGGAGGUAGCGGUGCCCUGUAACUUGCAACCCGCUGUAGCAAGAGUGAUGCUUAGGCUGAGGCACCAUUUUGUGAAGACUGCCUUUAGCAAGUAGUGAUGACGAUUGGGUCUUACGCAAUAGCUCCUUAUGAACCGUGUCAGGUCUUGACGGAAGCAGCACUAAGUAAGAUCGGUUAUGUGCCGUGAGGGUGCCUGAUCUGAGCAAACUACUAAGGUAACGCUUGUAAGGUGUUGUCGAAGCCAAGUGCACAG
rnacentral:SRP_RNA from 1 species